rnacentral:rRNA from 1 species
AACGAACGCUGGCGGCAUGCCUAACACAUGCAAGUCGAACGAACCCUUCGGGGUUAGUGGCGCACGGGUGCGUAACGCGUGGGAAUCUGCCCUUUGCUUCGGAAUAACAGUUAGAAAUGACUGCUAAUACCGGAUGAUGUCUUCGGACCAAAGAUUUAUCGGCAAGGGAUGAGCCCGCGUAGGAUUAGGUAGUUGGUGGGGUAAAGGCCUACCAAGCCGACGAUCCUUAGCUGGUCUGAGAGGAUGAUCAGCCACACUGGGACUGAGACACGGCCCAGGCUCCUACGGGAGGCAGCAGUGGGGAAUAUUGGACAAUGGGCGCAAGCUUGAUCCAGCAAUGCCGCGUGAGUGAUGAAGGCCUUCGGGUCGUAAAGCUCUUUUACCAGGGAUGAUAAUGACAGUACCUGGAGAAUAAGCUCCGGCUAACUCCGUGCCAGCCGCCGCAGUAAGAC